rnacentral:lncRNA from 1 species
CUUGCGCCGUUCUAGGAAGCAAGACUUUCAUUUCUGCUUUUCUCAGAAAACACGUGAGCCGCAGCCCCGGUCGGGGGGGGUGUGGGGGGGGAAUCUCCCUCCGCGCCCCACCCUGGCACUCGCUCCCGACCCCUUUCCGGGUCCCGGCGGCUUGGUGCCGGCCCCGCUUUCCCGGGCUCCCGAGUGGAGGGGAGGGCGAGCCAGCCCGAUUGCAGCGCGGAUGCCGCUCGCCGUCGCCCCGGGGAGCCGCCCGCAGCUGGCCCAGGCUGGGUGCACGGCGUGGGCCGGCCGCUGGGUGCUCGGGUAUGUCGUCGCCGGCUAUUACAUCUCCUCCGCGGCUACAAACCCCUCGAGACGUCUGGUGAGCGGGAGAGGGGUGGUGGCGGUCUUCUCCUGCCCCAGUUCCCCCCGGGGCAGCGGCUGUUCCCCCUCCCCAAAGGGCCCCUCUCUGGGGACCCUUGGAGGUGGGAAGAGGUUAGAACUGUGUGGUGGGGCCGGAGUGUGGACCGAGUCCGGCUCAGUCUCGCCGAGCUGCUGAUGCCGGCACGGCUAACCCUGCCUCGGCCCCUCCAGGUGUCCUGCAGCGCCGUCUCCAGCUGCCUCGGCUUCCUCGCCUCGCUGGUGGGAGCUGUGCUCCUGGCCCUGGACCUGCUGCGGGUUUCCUUCCGCCACCCGCUCCGGGGCGUCUUCGCCGUGUCCCYGCUCUGCGAGAGGAGCAGCGUCCUGGCUGAGCACUGCCGCAGGCUCCUGAUCUACGAGCUGGUGAGCUGGCGGGGGCUGGCGGGACGGGCAGGGGGGCCGGCGUGCGGGCGCAGACGGUGCUGAGGCCAAGCUGGUGGUGCAGUGCCCUGUYGUCUCCGCUGAGAGUGGGGCUGGUGGCAUCUGGGCUCCCAAGGGGGGGUUGUUUAACCCCAUGCGCCAGGACAGGUUGGGGUUGACCUGCUGGAAAGCAGCUCUGCGGAGAAGGACCUGGGAGUGCUGGUGGACACCAAGUGAAGCAUGAGG